GAAUAUAUAAAUAAACCAGAAGUUACAAUACAGUGAGUUGAAGACUACAAAGGACGCCUAACCCAGCUGUGAUCUGUCAGGAUUGCUUGAGAUUACCUUUGUGUGAAUCCCAGCGUUGUUUCCAGACGGUACAAAUGCUGGCAGAACUCCUACCCUUGCCACAGGAUGAAAGACUUCCCAUGUCACUGGUGCCAUCAUCAGCUUCUCAGAAGCACAGGGAGUGUGGCCUCCAGACUCAUGUGUGAAGCAGACAUUGACUUGGUAAGGACAAGAGAUGAAUUCCACAGUGCUGUGGCCAUUCCCAGGAGGGAGAAGGGAGACCCGGAUUCCCCAUCUUCUUCCCCUUCGAAAACACAUAGAGCUAGGUGCUUCUGGGCAAAACACUGUGUUUGGGGCAGGAAGGAUGGAGAGAGUGCUGGCAGAUGGGUUACCCCAAGUCAUAAUUACAGUGCAGCCAGGAAGCCAAGCCUGCAGUCUCAGCUGGGCCACGGACUGCAGGGAUCUUGACACUCACCAGAGCUGAGAUUUCUAACCCACUGGACUUGGAGGGUGGUGUUUGGAAAGACUCAGGUCGGUUAAGUCCUAGUAUCCAGCAGGCACAUAGGGAUCCAGAGCUGGCAGCUCAUUUGCAGCCUCUGUAAAUCAGGUCUCCAUUCACAGAAUGAAUCAGUUUCCACCUGAGGUAAUUAUGCUCCAUGCCUCGGUCAGGGGGCAACUGAUAACUUGUGUGAAUUAUUCUUCAAAUUGUGCAGCCCAGCAGAGAUGGCAAUAAUUAACCUCCCAGCAGAAACAGUGUACUGAGCAAGGAGCUUAGGUGUUCUGGAAAGUAUCCUCCUCAAGGCCCUUUAAAUGUCAUUACUGUAACCUUGAGCAAGGAAGGUCAGUCUGAGAAACAAAGAUCUAAGAAAGUUUGCUGGGUGAUUGGAAAAGGGGUCAGCUGCAAGCUGUGCCCCACACCCCAGCCUUCCAGCUGUAGUCAGACUUUGCCCAGUUCCCCAGCCAGUUAUGACCAGUAACAGUGGCAGCCAGGCACGGCGCUAAGUAUGACAACCACAUGGUUUCAUGCAUCUGCACACAACCCUACAUUGCCUGCAUUAGGAUACUGUCAUAGUUUAUAUCUAGAUGUCCCCAAGAGCCUUGUGCACUCAUAGGUGGGGCUUUUGGAAGGCAGUUGGAUUACAGGGACUUGUACCUGACUUGCUGUCAGAUAAGUUCUGGGUGGAAGAGGUGGGUCAUUUGGGGGCGUGGCCUGGAAGGCUGUAUCACCCUUGCCACUCCUCCCUUCGUGCUCUCUGCUUCCUGGAUUCCAUGAGGUGAGCAGAUUUUCCUUCUCAAUGCCCUUCUGCCCUAGCAUCCUGCCUUGGAGUCGGCCAACUAUGGACCUAAACAGCCAAAAUAAACCUCUCCUGUUUUAAGUUGUGGUGGGUAUUUUGUCCCAGCCAUGAGGAAAGUGACUAAGACAGAUAGUGUAAGAAACCACAGGAAAGAAUUCCAGCCUUUCAGUGGACAAGUUAAAUGAUCUGGCCAAGCUCAUGACAUAACUAGGGGAUGCAGACCCAGAACUUGAACCUAAAUCGUCCAGGUUCUUGCUGGUGUAACACUGACUGGUCCUCAAAGAGUUCCUAGGGAGGAACUAAGCUCCUGUUGGAAAAAUGAGGCUGGGAGGGAAGGAAAGAAACCUCUGGUGCUGCUCAUUUACAUCCUACCCUGGUAUCAUACCCUGGCUUGUCUGGGCUACAUUGAGUGAAGAGUUAUCUUGG
rnacentral:lncRNA from 1 species